AGUGAACGCUGGCGGUAGGCCUAACACAUGCAAGUCGAACGGCAGCACAGUAAGAGCUUGCUCUUACGGGUGGCGAGUGGCGGACGGGUGAGGAAUACAUCGGAAUCUACUUUUUCGUGGGGGUUAACGUAGGGAAACUUACGCUAAUACCGCAUACGACCUACGGGUGAAAGCAGGGGAUCUUCGGACCUUGCGCGAUUGAAUGAGCCGAUGUCGGAUUAGCUAGUUGGCGGGGUAAAGGCCCACCAAGGCGACGAUCCGUAGCUGGUCUGAGAGGAUGAUCAGCCACACUGGAACUGAGACACGGACCAGACUCCUACGGGAGGCAGCAGUGGGGAAUAUUGGACAAAGGGCGCAAGCCUGAUACAGCCAUACCGCGUGUGUGAAGACGGCCUUCGGUUUGUAAAGCCCUUUUGUUGGGAAAGAAAAGCAGCAGGUUAAUACCCCGCUGUUCUGACGGUACCCAAAGAAUAAGCACCGGCUAACUUCGUG
rnacentral:rRNA from 1 species